GUGCCAGCAGCCGCGGUAAUACGGGGGGAGCAAACGUUGUUCGGAAUCACUGGGCGUAAAGGGCGCGUAGGCGGCCUCGUAAGUGGUGUGUGAAAUCUCCUGGCUCAACCAGGGAAUUGCGCUCCAAACUGCGAGGCUCGAGGGCAGUAGAGGAAGCUGGAAUUCCAGGUGUAGCGGUGAAAUGCGUAGAUAUCUGGAGGAACACCGUUGGCGAAGGCGAGCUUCUGGGCUGUUCCUGACGCUGAAGUGCGAAAGCUGGGGGAGCAAACAGGAUUAGAAACCCCUGUAGUCC
rnacentral:rRNA from 1 species